GGGGCGGCGUGCUAUACUGCAAGUCGAACGAGGUGCCUUUGUAGCAAUACGAGGGUAUCCUAGUGGCGAACGGGUGAGUAACGCGUUGGUGACCUGCCCCGAAGUGUGGGAUAACAGUCCGAAAGGACUGCUAAUACCGCAUGCGGUCAUCGGGUUUAGAAGCCGAUGACCAAAGCAGCAAUGCGCUUUGGGAGGGACCUGCGUCCCAUCAGCUAGUUGGUAGGGUAACGGCCUACCAAGGCGACGACGGGUAGGGGACCUGAGAGGGUGACCCCCCACAAUGGAACUGAAAUACGGUCCAUACACCUACGGGUGGCAGCAGUAGGGAAUAUUGCACAAUGGGCGAAAGCCUGAUGCAGCAACGCCGCGUGCACGAUGAAGGUCUUCGGAUCGUAAAGUGCUUUUCUGGGAGAUGAGAAUGGACAGUAUCCCAGGAAUAAGUCUCGGCUAACUACGUGCCAGCAGCCGCGGUAAAACGUAGGAGGCAAGCGUUAUCCGGAUUCACUGGGCGUAAAGCGCGUGCAGGCGGUUCGGUAAGUUGGGCGUGAAAUCUCCUGGCUUAACUGGGAGAGGCCGUUCAAUACUACCGGACUAGAGAGCAGUAGAGGAAGAUGGAAUUCCCGGUGUAGUGGUGAAAUGCGUAGAUAUCGGGAGGAACACCAGUGGCGAAGGCGAUCUUCUGGACUGCUUCUGACGCUCAGACGCGAAAGCUAGGGUAGUAAACGGGAUUAGAGACCCCGGUAAUCCUAGCCGUAAACGAUGUGAACUUGGCGUCGGUGGCU
rnacentral:rRNA from 1 species